rnacentral:rRNA from 1 species
UCGCGGUGAAUACGUUCCCGGGUCUUGUACACACCGCCCGUCACACCAUGGGAGUCGGGAAUGCCCGAAGUCAGUGACCCAACCUAUUGGAGGGAGCUGCCGAAGGCAGGUCUGAUAACUGGGGUGAAGUCGUAACAAGGUACC